UACGGGGGGAGCAAGCGUUGUUCGGAUUUACUGGGCGUAAAGGGUGCGUAGGCGGUCGGGUAAGUCUGUCGUGAAAUCUCCGAGCCCAACUCGGAAACUGCGUCGGAUACUAUUCGGCUAGAGGAAUGGAGGGGAGACUGGAAUUCUCGGUGUAGCAGUGAAAUGCGUAGAUAUCGAGAGGAACACCAGUGGCGAAGGCGAGUCUCUGGACAUUUCCUGACGCUGAGGCACGAAAGCCAGGGGAGCAAACGGG
rnacentral:rRNA from 1 species